rnacentral:rRNA from 1 species
AUUGAACGCUGGCGGCAGGCCUAACACAUGCAAGUCGAGCGGAUGAAGGGAGCUUGCUCCUGGAUUCAGCGGCGGACGGGUGAGUAAUGCCUAGGAAUCUGCCUGGUAGUGGGGGAUAACGUCCGGAAACGGGCGCUAAUACCGCAUACGUCCUGAGGGAGAAAGUGGGGGAUCUUCGGACCUCACGCUAUCAGAUGAGCCUAGGUCGGAUUAGCUAGUUGGUGGGGUAAAGGCCUACCAAGGCGACGAUCCGUAACUGGUCUGAGAGGAUGAUCAGUCACACUGGAACUGAGACAAGGUCCAGACUCCUACGGGAGGCAGCAGUGGGGAAUAUUGGACAAUGGGCGAAAGCCUGAUCCAGCCAUGCCGCGUGUGUGAAGAAGGUCUUCGGAUUGUAAAGCACUUUAAGUUGGGAGGAAAGGCAGUAAGUUAAUACCUUGCUGUUUUGACGUUACCAACAGAAUAAGCACCGGCUAACUUCGUG